rnacentral:tRNA from 1 species
GUUUUAAUAGUUUAAUAAAAAUUUUGAUUUUGUAAUUCAGGGAUAAGAUUCUUCUUUUAAAACU